GACAGAGGUGCCGAGCGUUAGGCGGAAUCACUGGGCUUAAAGCGUGUGUAGGCGGAGUUCUAAGUACCUUGUGAAAUCCCACGGCUUAACCGUGGAACUGCUUGGUAUACUGGUUCUCUUGGGCCAUCUAGGGGCUACUGGAACAAACGGUGGAGCGGUGAAAUGCGUAGAUAUCUGGAGGAAUACCGGUGGCGAAGGCGGCAUCCUGGACCGGCAUUGACGCUGAUGAGCGAAAGCUAGGGGAGCAAACGGG
rnacentral:rRNA from 1 species